rnacentral:rRNA from 1 species
AAAAACAUCACCUCCAGCAUUCCCAGUAUUGGAGGCAUUGCCUGCCCAGUGACAACUGUUUAACGGCCGCGGUAUCCUGACCGUGCAAAGGUAGCAUAAUCAUUUGUUCUCUAAAUAAGGACUUGUAUGAAUGGCCGCACGAGGGUUUUACUGUCUCUUACUUCCAAUCAGUGAAAUUGACCUUCCCGUGAAGAGGCGGGAAUGCACAAAUAAGACGAGAAGACCCUAUGGAGCUUUAACUAACCAACCCAAAGAGAAUAGAUUUAACCAUUAAGGAAUAACAACAAUCUCCAUGAGUUGGUAGUUUCGGUUGGGGUGACCUCGGAGAAUAAAAAAUCCUCCGAGCGAUUUUAAAGACUAGACCCACAAGUCAAAUCACUCUAUCGCUCAUUGAUCCAAAAACUUGAUCAACGGAACAAGUUACCCUAGGGAUAACAGCGCAAUCCUAUUCAAGAGUCCAUAUCGACAAUAGGGUUUACGACCUCGAUGUUGGAUCAGGACAUCCUGAUGGUGCAACCGCUAUCAAAGGUUCGUUUGUUCAACGAUUAAAGUCCUACGUGAUCUGAGUUCAAACCGG